rnacentral:rRNA from 1 species
UGCACAGCCGUGCCAGCAGCCGGGGUAAGAGGAAGGGGGCAAGCGUUAAGCGGAAUUACUGGGCGUAAAGGGUGCGUAGGCGGUUAUUUAAGGCUGCCGUGAAAUCCCCGGGCUCAACCUGGGAAUGGCGGUGGAUACUGGAUAGCUAGAGUGUGUCAGAGGAUGGUGGAAUUCCCGGUGUAGCGGUGAAAUGCGUAGAGAUCGGGAGGAACAUCAGUGGCGAAGGCGGCCAUCUGGGACAACACUGACGCUGAAGCACGAAAGCGUGGGGAGCAAACAGGAUUAGAUACCCUGGUAGUC